AACUUUUUCCCAGAAGUUAUUUAACAAGAAUAAAAAGAGUAGCAAGCAUAGCAAAAAGCUGUGUCAUUAUAGCUGGCGUUGCAAUUGAGUCUCAUUAAACUGAUGCUGAUGGUUAAAGGGAAGCUUGAUGAAGGUUUUCACAAAAUAUAACAGAGCAGUUCAUUCGAAGUUUGAACUUGAGAAAGCAAAUUGACUCUCAUAGAAGUGGUGAACUAGCUGAUGAUUUCUUGCAAAAAUGUCCACCUGUGUUUCUCUUCAGACUCUAAAAGAAAUGAAAGAAUACCGGAAAUGCAGUCUGCAUGACCAUGGUCUUGUUUUUAUUUUCUAUGCAGUGCUACCGCUUCAAGUUCUUCAUAAGACCUCACACACCAUGACAGCAAGGAUUACGGAAGUCCUCAAAUAUUUCACGCUACAAGUUUUCAAACAACUAUGCUCCGAAAGGCUGCAUACAAUGCGGACAAAUCGCUCUUCUAACCUGCGUUUUCUUAAACAAGCUUUACUGCGGCAUUUCUGCCUUAAAUUAUACUUAUCAGGCAAGUCGAACCGCACGAUGUCCAAUAAAGCCUCAACACAGCCCUCA
rnacentral:lncRNA from 1 species